rnacentral:misc_RNA from 1 species
GUGAAUCAUCGAAUUUUUGAACGCAUAUUGCACUCUCUGGUAUUCCGGAGAGUAUGCCUAUUUGAGGGUCAUUUGAAAUAAUAUAAAUUCCAAGAUUUCUCGGAAUUUAAAAUGGGUUGUCCAUUUUUUGUGGUCGCCUAAAUUCCAGACCAGCCUAUUUUUCUGGGUUUCCGUAUUAUUUUCGUUACCCUGUG